rnacentral:misc_RNA from 1 species
AAAGCAGUGACGUAUUAUCCUUAUAGUUUGCUUGCAAUAUUAGAAAUGUUGUUUGUCAAUACGCAAGGAUCGUAAGAUAUCGAUUUGGCAUGCAAUAUUCUGGUUCCCUUUCGCAGAGAGGCCACCACUACUGUUCAGCGUCCGUGUGUACGGCUGACUGCCCCAACGUGAGGCGUUUCUACGUUGGUCAUUGUAUGUCCAGUCACGACGGUUGGUGACCGCCCGAUACCAGCUGACGAGACCACAUCUAUCUACAUCAGCUAGCUGUAAUUACACCCGGAGUCAGCACCCACAGUGCUCCUGUCGCAGACAACAGCGGGUCUUCAUCCUUGACGACCAGACACGCAAGCGCGGGCGCCAGUCCUGUUAGCGAGCCAUGGUGAACUACACACAACUCCAUGUAUAGUUAGCAUGUAUCGGGUUUAAUUGAUUCCUGAUAUCUCUUACAGCUGGAGACAACAGGAAAAGGCAGGCGAGCUUGGUACGUGUGUGUGGAUGCAAUGUCGGCACACCGAUAACGACAACAGUGUUUAAACUCUCGGCGACAACAUUGGUUCUGCACCAGAGGUAGCACUGGAUACUCAUCUAUAUUUCAAAGCCAGUGACAAUUUAUUUGAAAGCAUUCAUCAGCCGUGCUCAGCUGGCAGAGCAAUGGUGCGUGAGAUUAAAAGAGGGCCAAGCUUCACUAUGUGUCCCUGACUGUCUGUUUGUCAGAACCGACAACAAACGUGAAACAGAGCCUUGUUCAUCCUUGUCUAGUCUCCAACAUCUGCACGUCUAGAAUAUAAAAAUCUUUAUUUAGUGAAUCUAAAGGAUAUAGCGUGCACAAUGAGUAUACGGUAAAUGCACGUCCGUAUUUAAAAGCGUACUUCGAGUGAGCAUCCGGGAUUUGGACGUCAAUGUGGGUUAGUCGGAUCAGGAAUAUAAACAACCUUCUUGUUUAGUGAGACAUCGGACAAGAAUACGUAUACCCUCAGUGCUUAGAGUGACAUCAGAAAAGAACUCUGUACGCCUUUGGUAUUUAUUGCGACGUACGAUCAUGCAUAUGUACAACCUUAGUGUUUAGAGGAACAGCAUACCUGGAAUCCGUACGCCUACAGUGUAAUGUGGGACAUCCGACAACGAAUGUGAUCAUACCAGGAGUUUGUUGUCGAUGGUGUUUAGUGGAGCAUCGGACCAGGUAUUCGUAAACCCGUAGUGAUAAAUGGACAGCAGAAGAGACAUAUGUACGUCCAUGUUGUUUAGUAGGAUUUCGGAUCAGAAAUAUGUACACCCUUGGUGUUUAAAAGGGCGUCACAACGGGAAACCUUAUACCACGUUAAUGAAUAUUGGAGCAUCGGUUUCGACACCCUGCCAGUCUUGCUGUUCCACUAAUGAAACAUAACAACAAUGAUGGCGCACUGGAGCCCUACCGUGAUACACGGGAUUUUCCUAUUGUAUCUUAUGCAUAUUGUCUCUGCUGAGAUCGACUGUUACGUAUGUGACUCCAAGAACAACACAGACCCACACUGUGGGGACCCGUUCCAUCCGCUCUACGGCAAGCUUGUUACCAACUGUCGCCAAGGGCGUGACGGGAGAAGCGGAUUUUUCCCCGCGCGCUACUGUACAAAGAUCAGCGGUGUCAGCAUGACGGAUAACACAGUGACCGUGAUACGAUCAUGUGCAAUCGAGAGUUUGGAGAACAUGUGCGGUAUGUUUGACCUAGAGGGCGAGCGUUACACCGGAUGUGUGUUGACGUGUGAAAGUGACGCUUGUAAUGGAGCUGAGGAAACGGGGAUGAGAUGGGGGCAUGGCUUUCUGGAAACUGCAGUCCUUGUGACACUGAAUACCCUCUACUUGUUAUGAUAGAAAAACAAUCUUUGUUAGAAAGAACAAGAGCUGGAGUAUGUUUUCUGUACCAUUUAAUACUGUCAUAUCUAACGAAGAGCAACAUUAGCUUUUUUUUAAGAUGGUGGUACUUAUAAUCAACGAAUUUAAAUCUCGGUUACACUAUGUGCUACGCAAUUUCUGAUAAAAGAAUUCUGGAAUAUGGAAUGAAGAAUACAUUUAUCUUCUUGUUAAAUAGAUGAAGAGUAGGCAUCACAAAAAACAUUGUCAACCGCACUGUUGAAUACAAUCUAAAGAAAUACCACACACAAUUAUUCAGUGCGUCGUCGACUGUGGUGAUUAACACAGACGUACGUGAGGAGCUUUACAGAUUGUUUUAGACAUCUUCGUCUGUUAUUGUGAAGAACGAGGAAUCUUUAGAUGCUGCCGUGUACUUGUUUGUACAUUGUUGAACAGUUUAUGAGAACCUUACACAGUUAAGACUAGAUCGUCUGUGGGUGUGUACACCGAGGUUCAAUUUUCUGGAACGAAUUGAAACGUUGUCGUCUGUGGAUUUAAACACUGAGGUACAAUCUAAAAGAAUAUAUACAAUAUUUUGCACACCAUCCUUUUGGCUGGUCCAGUAAUUCACUUUAGUUAUGCACAUUACUUUGGUCACAUUUUGUUGUUUCCUGCUGUUUAGGGCAUUGUAAACACAUGAUGUUGAAGGUUCCGUGUGGUUACAUGAUGUUGUUGAGUCUCAUGUUGAAGGCAUUGUGGUAACAUAACGUUGUUAAGAGAUGAUAGAGAACACUAUUUCUCUCGUGUCACACGCCACCAAUGAGCAGCAUCUCUCCCAGAAGAACGUAGCGGUAGGUAAAGAUUAAACCCGAUAUUAAACAUUACGAUUCCCCUAAACAAUGUAAAGUGUUAAAAGUAGAAUGUUUUAUUUUCAAGAGGAGUGAAAGUGGCCACAUUUGGCACAUGUAGAAGUUGGGCACCAGGACAACACUGGUACACAUCGUUUGGUUAUUUACAUAUAGACUACACGCCAUCAUGUCUUUAAAAGUAUGUCUCCUUCUCAUGUCAUUUCUGUAGGUGUUUUUUUUCAUGGGAAUCCUUGCCAUAAUUUUGAAAAUAUCCUAGCUGUUACUACGAGAUACCGUGUGAUCUCAAUUAAAGUGGUGAAAAUCCAAAGGAACUGCAUAUGACCAUGAUUCAAAUAUAUGUAUCCUAAGUCCCUCUCGAAGUCAUCAGACCCAUUUAAAAUGUAGAACACGUGACGACUCUCAGACACCGUCUGUAAUCUUUCAAUAAAUGCAGGUCAUGAUAUAAUUAUGUAUUCUUUUUACCUUUCAUCUAGGUUGCUUUUUAGAUGAGUAAGGGACAUCUUAGUUCAAAACCUAUAAAUAAUACGUACCCGUCCUUAUUUCCUGUGAUCGAUAUAAAUGAUAUGUAGUCGCACCCUUUGCUUACUGAUUUUGACGACUUCACUGAUAUGUAGGCCCGCCUCUUUAUUCCUGUUAUCUAUUUUGUUGAUGUGUAGCUACGCCCGUAACUCUAUAUUUCGCUGUAAAGCCACACCCUUUAACCCAAUUUUGACUCCGAUGAUGUGUAGCCACACUCUUAACUCACUGAAGUUUGCUCCAAAGAAGUGAAGACUCGUCCUUUACUUCCUGUUAUCUUCUUGACCUUCACUCCAGUGCUGUGUAGCCACGCCUUUUUUUCUUUGACUCACGUGAGCUCUGCCCUUCCCUCCAUGUCAUCAAUCCCACUGCUGUGUAACCUCACCCUUAACUCGUUGUCAUCAACCCAACUGCUGUAUAGCCUAGCUUGCUCUGUAUUCCCAUUUAUAUAGAGUCUUUUUUUUUUUUUGUAGCUUCGUCUUUACUCCCUAUUUUUUGUCUAUUAAAAUUUUACAUAACAUCUCUUUCUCGGUGUAACAUGAUGUCACAACACCUUGUUAGAUAUUGUAAGUAGUGCGAAAACAUGAUAACCUUAAAAGUAUUCGCGGCAAAACCUUGUUUCUUAAUCAUUACUGCGAGAACAUUUGAUAAGCUUGUAGUUUUUAUUACUGCGAGAACACAUGAUAAGCUCGAAAUUAUUCGCGGCAAAACCUUGUUUCUUAAUCAUUACUGCGAGAUCAUUUGAUAACCUUAAGCAUGUAGUUAUUAUUACUGCGAGAACACAUGAUAAGCUCGAAAUUAUUCGCGGCAAAACCUUGUUUCUUAAUCAUUACUGCGAUAACAUUUGAUAACCUUAAGCUUGUAGUUAUUAUUACUGCGAGAACACAUGAUAAGCUCGAAAUUACUCGCGGCAAAACCUUGUUUCUUAAUCAUUACUGCGAUAACAUUUGAUAACCUUAAGCUUGUAGUUAUUAUUACUACGAGAACACAUGAUAAGCUUGAAAUUAUUCGCGGCAAAACCUUGUUUCUUAAUCAUUACUGCGAUAACAUUUGAUAACCUUAAGCUUGUAGUUAUUAUAACUGCGAGAACACAUGAUAAGCAUGAAAUUAUUCGCGACAAAACCUUGUUUCUUAAUCAUUACUGCGAGAACAUUUGAUAACCUUAAGCUUGUAGUUAUUAUUACUACGAGAACACAUGAUAAGCUUAAAAUUAUUCGCGGCAAAACCUUGUUUCUUAAUCAUUACUGCGUGAACAUUUAAUAACUUUAAGCUUGUAGUUAUUAUUACUGCGAGAACACAUGAUAAGCUUGAAAUUAUUCGCGACAAAACCUUGCUUCUUAAUAAUAACUGCGAGAACAUUUGAUAACCUUAAGCUUGUAGUUAUUAUAACUGCGAGAACACAUGAUAAGCAUGAAAUUAUUCGCGACAAAACCUUGUUUCUUAAUCAUUACUGCGAGAACAUUUAAUAACUUUAAGCUUGUAGUUAUUAUUACUGCGAGAACACAUGAUAAGCUUGAAAUUAUUCGCGACAAAACCUUGUUUCUUAAUCAUUACUGCGAGAACAUUUAAUAACUUUAAGCUUGUAGUUAUUAUUUCUGCGAGAACACAUGAUAAGCAUGAAAUUAUUCGCGACAAACCCUUGUUUCUUAAUAAUAACUGCGAGAACAUUUGAUAACCUUGUAAGUAUUUGCUAUAGAGCCUUGUUUCUUGGUAAGUACUGUGUGAACACAUGAUAACCUUGUAAUUUAUUUGCGACAUGUACUUUCGUUAUUACUCGCGACAACACAUUGUAAUAUUGUUGUUAUUCGCGACAGUACCGUGUAAUCUGGUAAUUUCUCGCAACAAUAACUUUUUAUAUUGUAAUUACUUAAAACAACCUUAUAAUUACUAGCAACACCACCUGUUAACUUUGUAAAUACUUGCCACAACACUAUCUACCUUUGUAAUUAGUAACUACUUCCGAGAACACGAUGUAACCUAGGUGUGCACUUCACAAUACCCUGUAACCUCUAUACUAACUCGCAACACCAGCGUGUAGCAUUGACUUACUCGUCGCAACGUCUUCAACUUGUGUAUUUAGUCGCGAAAUUAAUGUGAGUAGGAGUACAACGAGGAAAUGUUGAGUGAGGGAAGGAUCACGUAAAGUCCAUUAAAAACCAGGCUGCUGAUUACAGUUAUAGUUCAGUUGUUGACGAUGUUUGUUUUGUUGGUAACUGACUAAGACUUUAACUAAUGAACUUUUGUCAAUAGUCUCUGGUCGGUUUCCCGGCCUUAUUUGUUGUUUUGUUUUAUGGGAUAGGUUUCAUGCACUUGUUUGUUCCAACGAAAUAUAUGUGCACAUACAAUGUGAUAAGCGUCAUUUUGUGAUAAGAUUCACGUUCGUAGCCUCAUCCUAGUUGUGAGCGUGCUAAAUACGUAACAUAAUAUUUAUCAUCAACCCAUCCAUUUUUUACUCUCUCUGUUUUUAAUCUUAUCUUGAUACUCUCCCUCGUUUUCUGUACACUGCCUUUGUUUGACAUGACGUCAUUAUAAGGUCGUAGUUUAGUUUAAACAUGUUGUAUUGCCAAAAAGGAAUGCACAAGUUACAUGAACAUUAUUAACAUUAUUAAAGAUAAAUAAGAUUACUUAUUCAUUGCAGUUUAUAUAAUGUACAUCAUCAAUACUCAACAUAUAAUGCAUACAUUCAUUCUUACUUUUUUGUACAAAUUAUAGUAGAUUUUAAAAUUUGUCAUGAAAAUGGAGCCAUCAAGCACAGCCAGCGGAGUGAUAUCCUGGCACUAUUCCAUACUUUCAGCAGAUCAACAGUUCGUCACGUCCCGUGCUUAGUGGCUUUCUCCUUUUCAUUCCAUCCUUUCUCGAAAAUUCGUUUCCACUGAAUGGCCCAACACAUGCCUAUAUUACAUACAUUAUAUACAACAGUAAGUGGAACUAUUUACAGAAACAUUCAAGCACGCACACACUCCUUGCAUUCACGCUCUCGUCCACUUAAAAGAAAGUUAAACAUAACAGAGGAUUACUUAAAUAAUAAGGAACACACAAGUGCACGUUUUGCCAUGUAAUACGGACACAAGCUAAGAAAUGAAUAUGAAAGAUAAUGACUGCUGGAGAGGAGACACAAGAACGUGACCAUAUCAAAACCUGCGAGUACUCGAUACAUACUGUUGGACAUAUAUAAAAAAAAAUAUUUUCCUCCCUCGAAUAAUCUUCAUGGUCAUAUAAUAAUUUCUUCAAGCUUAGAGAUAAGUAUUUAUGAAGGUUUCUUAUCAUUUGAUCAAUCUUUGAUCAGUAUAUCUACUGCAUGCAAAAAGAAAUGAUGAGCAUUUUAAUUAGGAUAUCCACAGGUACAAAUAGGAGAGUUGAUUAUAAAGAGAUCAUCAUUUAAAGGGCUGCAUUUAUGACGGAGUUUGGUUAGUAAAAUAUUUAACUUACGGUCACCGGCUAAAUAAAAAACAUGCACUUUAAAUGUUUCAUUUGGUUUUUUGAGGCAGUUUGUUAAGCUCUUAAAAGAAUGUGCAGUUUUAAUAUUAGUGUCAAGCUCAUUUCAUAAUCUUAAAAGUAGAAGGUAUAAAUGAGUUAAGUGCAGAUUAUAAACGGAAAUUAGGAAUGGAAUAGUUCUCAGAGUUUCUCAAAUUAUAAGGAGUUAAAGUAGAUACUAGUGGCGGGAGAAGGUCAGUUAGGGAAGAGGGAGUCAUAUUGUUGUGAAUUUUAUAGAAAAGGCCGUAAUGCCGUACUUGUUAUCUGUACACUGCCUUUAUUUGACUUGACGUCAUUAUAAGGCCGUAAUGACGUACUUGUUAUCUGUGGUAGAUGGCUGCCUAUCGUCUGUAGGCUAUCAAUGACGUCAUCACUACGUUCUCCUGCUAUAAAUAUUUAGAAAAACUUAGACACUACACAACGUACAAUGUUUUGCUUUGUUGAUAUAUUUCCUCGUUUAAGUUACAAUUGUUUCAUGCUAAUGCAAAAUCGAUGAGUCUGUUUGAAAAUAAAACCAAUGC